GACACCACUGGGAGGCUGUUCCCUCCCAUGCUCCUCUGGCUGGUGUUCCCAGGGGCCUCGGUCCAGGGAGGAUGGUGCACACAUGGGUGGCUGCUUCUGCAUCCCGGGGGAGCCAAGUCUGUCCUGGGGCCCAGGUAAAGAAACUCAUUCCAAGGAUCCAACCAUAUCGAGUGAGUUUAUAUCCUCAUCUGAAAGUAAGGAAAAAUGUUUCCUGCCACAGAACAUGACUCCAGAUCUGACGCUCUCCUUCAGUGUGAAGAGCCGCUCCAGGAGGUGUGUAAAUGGUCCCUUGCAGGAAACAGCCAGGAAGAGGCUCUGGAUGCUGGAGAAUGAGGACCAGGAGGUGCGUGCACUGUUUAAGGACCUCUCAGCCAGGUUGGUGGGUAUCCAGUCCCAGAAGGCCCAGUUCCUCAUCACCUUCAAGACCAUGGAGGAAAUCUGGAAGUUCUCCACCUACCUGAACUUAGGCUAUGUAUCUGCAUGUCUGGAGCAUCUCCUCUUUGACCACAAGUACUGGCUCAACUGCCGACUGGUGGAGGAUACAGAGAUCCAAGUGUCAGUAGAUGAUAAACACCUGGAAGCAAUAUACCUGGGACUCCUCAUCCAGGAAGGUCACUUCUUCUGCAGAGCCAUGUGCUCGGUGGCUCAGCCAGCUGAGAAGGAAGGAGAGUACUUGACACUUUGCAGGAAUGAGUUAAUCUCGGUGAAGAUAGCUGAAGGUGACCCUGAGUGGGAAGGUGUGUCCUUGGUCACGGGUCAGCGUGGCCUGGUGCCAGUGUCAGCCGUGGAACCUCUGCCUCUCCCUUUCCACCAAUGGUUCCUAAAGAAUUAUCCAGGAAUCUGUGGCCUUUCCAGAAAGAAGGAUUGGACAGGCUCCUAUCAGAUUGGAAGAGGAAAAUGUAAGGCCUGGAAGGAAUAUGAGAGAGAAGAAAAGGAUGAACUGAAUUUCCGCCAAGGGGAAAGCAUCGAGAUCAUCGGCUUUGUCAUUCCUGGGCUUCAGUGGUUCAUUGGGAAGUCAACCCUUUCAGGAGAAGUGGGCUUUGUUCCCACCAGGAACAUAGAUCCUGAUUCUUAUUCCCCAAUGAGCAAGAACUCUGCCUUUUUCAGUGAGGAGGAAAGAUGCUCUCUGGGGGUCCUGGGAAGUGACAGGAAAGCUGAGUGUGCCGACUUCCUUCACACGCUUGCUCAGACUGACAUAACAUCUGUCUACCGGCUGAGUGGGUUUGAAUCCAUCCAGAAUCUUCCAAACGAUCUGAGUGCAUCCCAGCCCGAAGUCUUCAAGGACACUCAGCCUGGUGGAGCCUGGGAGGAGCAUCAGGCAGUAGGCUCCAGACAGUCCAGCAGCUCCGAGGACUCCAGCUUGGAGGAGGAGCUCCUUUCAGCUGCCUCAGACACCUACCACCUGCCAGAGCCUGAUGACCUCGAUGACCCAGAACUGCUCAUGGACCUGAACACCGGUCAGGAGGAGGAGGAGGCUGAGAACUUCGCCCCCAUAUUGGCCUUUCUGGAUCACAAGGGUUAUGCUGACCAUUUUAAGAGCCUCUAUGAUUUUUCCUUCUCUUUCCUCACGUCUUCCUUUUACAGCUACUCUGAGGAGGAUGAGCUCGUGGCCUACCUGGAGGCCUCGAGGAAGUGGGCCAAGCGGAGCCACAUGACCUGGGCCCACGCCCGGCUCUGCUUCCUCCUGGGCCGUCUGAGUGUCAGGAAGGUCAAACUCUCUCAGGCCAGGGUGUACUUUGAGGAGGCCAUCCACAUUCUCAACGGGGCAUUUGAGGACCUAUCCUUGGCAGCUGCUCUGUACAUCAAUUUGGCGGCCAUCUAUCUGAGGCAGAGGCUGAGGCAUAAAGGCUCGGCCCUGCUGGAAAAGGCAGGUGUCCUGUUGGCCUGCCUGCCUGAUCGUGAGUCUAGUGCCAAGAGCGAGCUGGACGUGGUGGCCUAUGUGCUGAGACAGGGCAUCGUGUCGGGCAGUUGCCCCCUGGAGGCCAGGGCUUGCUUCCUGGCCACCCGAUUGCUCCUAAGCCUUGGCCGGCAUGAUGAGGUCCUGCCCUUCGCCGAGCGCCUGCAGCUCCUCUCCGGACACGCCCCUGCCUCUGAUGCUGCCGCCACCAUCUUGAGCUUUCUCUAUGACAAGAAAUAUCUGCCACACCUUGCAGUGGCCUCUGUCCGGCAACGUGGUACUCAGAGCACCCAAGGGAUGGCCCUUCCAAUUUGGCAGGUCCACCUGGUCCUCCAGAAUGCCUCCAAGCUCCUUAGCAUCCCCUCCCCAAGCUGGGGUGAAGUUUCUGCCCUGGCCUGCCCGGCACUCAGGCAGGCGCUAGCUGCCUGUGAGGAACAGGCGGACUGGAGCACCCAGAGGGCCCUGUGUCUCAUCCUGUCCAAAGUGUACCUCCAGCACAGGUCUCCUGACGGUGCCAUCCACUACCUGAGCCAAGCCUUGGUGCUGGGCCAGCUGCUGAGUGAACAGGAAGCUUUUGAGUCUUCUCUCUGCCUGGCAUGGGCCUAUCUCUUAGCCAGCCAGGCAAAGAAGGCUUUGGACGUCCUCGAGCCACUCUUAUACUCCCUGAAGGAAAAAGAGAGUGUUACCCAAAAGGGAGUGGUCCAUAACCUCCUGGGACUUGCACUUCAAGGUGAAGGCCGGGUGAAUAAGGCAGCCAAGAGUUACCUCCAGGCCUUGAACAGAGCCCAGGAGGCGGGGGAUGUGCGUAACCAAGCAGUGACUUUGGCCAAUCUUGGCCACCUGACCCUUAAGUCCUGGACUCAGCAGCCGGCCAGGGACUAUCUUCUGCAGGCUGUGCAACUCUAUUCUAAACUCCAGGCCAGCAUGGAGACAGAUAUGGAGUUAGUACAGGUGCUUCUCUGGUUGGCCCAAGUCCAGGUAUAUGGACGCCACCUGACCAGUGGCCGCUUUUGUUAUGAAAUGGCAUUGCUGUUUGGCUUAAGGCAUCGACACCUAAAGAGUCAGCUUCAGGUCACCAAAUCCCUCUGCCAUUUCUACAGCUCUGUGUCCCCAAACCCCGAGGCAUGCAUUACGUACCACGAGCACUGGCUGACCCUCGCUCAGCAACUCAGGGACCGGGAGAUGGAGGGGAGGCUGCUGGAGUCCCUCGGGCAGCUGUAUCGGAACCUAAACACUGCCAGGUCCCUCAGGAGGUCCCUCACCUGCAUCAAGGAGAGUCUGCGUAUCUUCAUCGACCUGGGGGAGAAAGACAAGGCCGCUGAGGCUUGGCUUGGGGCUGGGCGACUCCACUACCUCAUGCAGGAAGAUGAACUGGUGGAGCUGUACUUGCAGGCAGCCAUCCAGAAAGCCUUGAAGUCAGAGGAACCCUCUCUGGCUCUCAAGCUCUACGAAGAGGCUGGUGAUGUGUUCUUCAAUGGGACCCGCCACAGGCAUCGUGCGGUGGAGUACUACCGCGCUGGGGCUGUUCCCUUAGCAAGGAGGAUGAAGGCAGUCAGAACUGAGCUUCGGAUUUUCAACAAGCUGACGGAGCUGCAGAUCAGCCUGGAAGGCUAUGAGAAGGCUUUGGAAUUUGCCACCUUGGCAGCCAGACUCAGCACCAUUGCAGGAGAUCAGAGGCAGGAGCUGGUGGCCUUCCACCGUCUGGCUACUGUGUACCACUCGCUGCACAUGUACGAGAUGGCUGAGGACUGCUACCUGAAGACUCUGUCCCUCUGUCCACCCUGGCUGCAGAGUCCCAAGGAGGCCUUAUACUACGCCAAGGUGUAUUAUCGUCUGGGCCGACUCACCUACCACCAGCUGAAGGAUGCCCACGAUGCCACUGAGUACUUCUGGCUGGCCCUGGCCGCAGCGGUCCUUCUGGGUGACGAGGAGCUGGAGGACACCAUUAGGACCAGGCUGAACAACGUCUGCCGGAGCCCCCUGUGGCACAGCAGCCCCUCUGGGCGCUCCUCGGAGAGGGCCCGGUGGCUGAGUGGAGGGGGCCUGGCUCUCUGAUGGUCUGCCUGGCUCCUGGCUCCUUGCAUCUAAUCUAAAUAAAGAACCAAGAAGGACUUACAACACUGUGGAAAACCCUGUAACAUGUUUUCUCAGCUUUCAGCAAUGUUAUUUCCAUGCCCUAUGAGCAGGAAGAGAGACUUGUAUCUGGGAGAUGAAAUCAUUUAUUUUUAUGGCCCAAUUUUAUUCUCUUGUUUUUACAGGUGAGUAAACUGAGAAGCAGAAAAUUAAAUUUUCUCCUAACCACAAAGGUAGUUGUGAUAAAGAUCGCAGUACCCUGGAUCUCAUGACUCAUAGACUUAGCUGCAGAAAUGUAAUUCAUUCAGGGUGACUUUCACAGUUGUAUGCAUGUGUGCAUGCAUGUGUAUAUGUGUGCAUGCAUGGAUGUAUGCAUGUAUGCACGUGCAAUGCACACAUGCAUUUAUCACCAUAUGUGACACCUGAACAGCCACUUAUCAGUUUUUUUCUAAAGGGAUUUACUUCCUUUACUCAUACAAAUUAAUUUUAUAAAGGAUGACUGGUCCAUGUAGAAAAAAAGACUUUUAUUGCUUUCUAUAAACUGAAUUUCAUAAAUAAAAAUAAAUACAGUGGAAACAAAACAAUGUGCUAAAUUCAAGCUAGAUCCUUUUGCUUAUGCCGAGCGCCCAGCCUAGGCUUGAUCUGGCAUUAUUUGAAAAUAAAGAGAUUAACAACUGGCAGGGAGUGUUGAAGACAGACUAAUACUGUUGCUCUUGAGCAAUCAGGGAAACAGAGCAAGCAACCUGAACGACAGACCUCCUCACAAUGAGAGUCAGUGCUGUUCAGUGCCAAGUCUGGGCGCACUCUUCCCACUUCAGGGAAGUGGGGACUCAGUUGUAUAAGAGGGAAGGGACAGAUAUAAAUAUGAUCCAGGAUGGGAAGCAUUGUGAGGGGAGCUAAUUACGGGGUGUAGUGAGAACUCAGGGGACAUAACCCAGGCACAGGAGCGAGGACAUUAGGGUGGGCUCCCUGGAGGAAGUGACAUUUAAACUGAAUCCUGAGAGAGAGAGAGAGAUCUGCUUAAUUCUAAUGGCAGCCUAGGGGAUUGACAGACAAGGAAUAUGUCAAGAGGGCCUGGUGUUUUCUGACAGCCGCAGUGAGUUGAACAAAGCUGGAGCAGAGUCAGGGAGGGAGGGAAGGGAAGUGAGAGAAAACGCUGGAGAGAGGAGCUGGAAACAGACACUGAGGGUAAGGGGGUGCCUUGAAAAGGUUAUAAGCAGGAGGGAGAGGCAGGGUCAGAUCUGUGCUUUGGAAAGAUGAAUCUGGAAGCAGCAUGAAAUUGGAUUACAGGGCAGCAGGAGGGAAAGUGGGAGACCCAUUAGGACGUGGCUAUUGCAACAAUACACUCCAGCUUUUAUUUAAAUUUCACCAGUUUUCCCAGUAAAGUCCUUCUUUUUUUUUGAGCCAAGAUCCCAGAGUACCACACUGCAUUUAGCUGUCAUGUUUCCCUAGACAUCUCUGGUCUGUGAUAGUUUCUCAGUCUUUCCUUGUUUUUCAUGAUCUUGACUUCCUUCCCUUUUAAUAGUUGCCCCCAUUGAGAUGUGUGGACAGGGAAAGGAAGGAAGAAUAAAUUCAAGGAUAUGAGCUCUAUACUCACCAGGCAGCAGUUCCUGGUGGGUGCAAAGGAGUCAGGCAUACAGGUUAGCAUCUGUCUUAGUAGCUGUGUGACCUUCAGCAAGUUAAUUAACUUCUCUGAGUCCAGUGUUGUCAGGAUUAUAUCAGACAGCACAUGUAAAAGUUCUGAGCACACCCAGUGCCUGGCACAUAGUGUAAAUGCUAGAUGAUCUGAUAGAUUUGUUUACUUUCUUUGUUUCAUAGACAAGAAAAUGGUUGAGGCACAUCUAUCUUUGGGGACAAAUCUUUACCCAAAGAAGAAAGAACAAAUGAGUCUGUUUUUAAAGUGAAUUAAUUAAAUGGCUUAUGUUCUAAGGAAUGCCUACUAUGACCCCACCCUUUAUUUAUUUUAAAGUUAAGAUUUAAUCUUAGCUUUUUUUCAUACUCAAUUUUAUUUACCACUUUGCAAUUCAGUCACGUUUUGUUUCUUUCUUGGUGUAAGCCUUGAAGUUCAAAAGUGCAACCCCAGACUUAGCAGUUGCUGGGAAUGCUGGUCCUGCAUUCAAGGACACCCUGGGUCUGAAGCUGGGCAUUUGAGAAGAGUGUUUUAUGUGAAGAAGAUAAUGAAUUCAGCUUGGAACAUGUGGCGUGCUUUUAUUUUGCAUCCAACUGGAUGUGAAACCAGUUUAAUGUCCAUACUGUCCACUUGACGUUAUGGGCCAUGAGGUCAGAGAUUGGGUCAUCCCUGUACCCACAGCACGAGGAUAGUGCCUGACCCACACAAGUCUGGAGCUUCCAGGUACUUCCCUGGGCCCAUCAUGACCUCACUUGGCCUAACGGCCUGGUGGUUGCAGCAGAUCCUGGUGGUCUUGUGGGAUGAGAAGGGGGGCUUCUGAGAGAAAUCAGAGCUGUAGAUGGGUCUGACUCCUAGUAGUUUUUGGGAACUGUUGCCUCUGGAACCGGAGUGGGUGGAACAGAAAGCAGAGACUGGACUUUCUCACCAGCCCCACCUCAUAUUUCAGUGUGAUGAAACUAAGUUGCCCAAAUCCAGCAUGUUACUCAGUGCCUGAAGGUUUCUUCAAGUCACGCUGGGAAGGCAAGGGUAAGUCCAGUUGGAAUUUCUCUCUUGCAGAACUUGGAAUCAAAUGAGCUUAUCAUUUGAGAGCAGAGGAAAUCCUCAGGACUGUAUUACAGCUCCAGUUCUCGAGCCAGAUUGCCAGGUUUAUGCAGGAUCAUAAUAUACAAAACAGAAGAAAGGAAAUGGUUUGCUCUGUGUCAUGUGACAAGUCAUCUCACAGCAUCAGGUGCAGCCCUUAGCCUGGGGCAGGUACUGGAACAGACUGUAUAUCCGUCCAUCCUCACUAGACAGCGCUCCACCCUUCUCCAUCUUCAUCACCCUUGAGCUCGUUUCAUCACCCUUGAGCUCGUCACAGCCUGGAUCUUAGUGGGCACUCAGUCCUAGGACUGGAUUCCGAGCCCCUUCGCUGCUCUUUCUUCCCCUCCCCCAGCUGCAGACAUCAGACCACUGGCAGCCCAGAAGCAUCACGAGGCUCUGCCCAACUCAAGGUGGUGUAUGUAGAGGUGGCGGUGGGAGACACCAAGAUUGUAAUCUUCCCUUGUGUCUGAGAAGAGGAGGACUGAGAUGAUGUAGUGACAAAGGCUGUCAGCAUCAUCUGCAGAGAUUUUCAAGCCCUCUGCUGCUGCCUGGGGCCCCCACCCAAGUUUACCAGGUUGUCCAGCCUGGAGGGAUGCUGGCCUCAUGAUCCUUCUCCUCUCUACUCAGAAACCUCAGCUACGCAGCCCCCUCCCUGCAGUCCUCCUCCAGGCGUCCAUCAUAAGACCCACCACAGCCCCACCCCAAAUGCCUGGAGACUGGCCCCAGGAUCUGGAAGCCAUGGAGGACUUGAGCCAGUAUUGCCAGGCACAGGGACAAGCAAGGCCUUGAAGAGUGUUUGAAAUAAUUUCUUAGGGGAGGAAACUGAUAAGGGGACACUGGCAAUGUCUUGGAGGCAUUUUUGGUUGUCACAACGUGGGAGAUGUUUACUGGUUUCUGGAGGGUGGAGGCCACAGAUGCUGUCAAAUAUCCUGUGAUGCUCAGGUCAGCUCCACGCCCACCCCAGGAAGGACAUACUGGGCCCAAAAGGUUAAUUGUUCUGAGGUUGAGAACUGCUGCUCUAGGCCAUCUCUGUUCACUGCAUUAAAAUAGGUCUCCACACUGCCCUGCGGCACCCCCGCCCCCAAUAUGUUUAGUUCAGUUCCUCAGUGUUUCAUUUAUGGUACUCAUCUCCAUUAUUUGUCGAAUGAGUAAAUGAGCAAAUAAACCCAUAGAGAAAUUAAACACCCUGUGCAAGGUCACAAGAACAAAUUGGCAAAUAGUAUUAAAUCCUAGGUCUGUCUGCAUCCUGAUCAUGUGCUCCUAACCCACAUGCACAGGACUAAGAUAAUUUCAGUGUCGUGGGACCGAGGAUUGUUAGAGUCCAGCAGAGAAGAGAGG